GCCCUGGUGGCGGAAUUGGUAGACGCGCAUGCUUCAGGUGCAUGUUGGCUCAGCCAGUGGAAGUUCGAGUCUUCUCCAGGGCACCA
rnacentral:tRNA from 2 species